rnacentral:miRNA from 1 species
GGGAGCACUGGACUAAGAGUCAAAAGGUGGAGUUCUAGGCACUGUCUUUCCACUCUUGGACCCUGGGCAUGUUCU